UAAAUCAGCUGAAUUUCUUCUGCGGCACUUUGAGCAGGCAAACAUCUGAUCAAUAAUUCUAACGGCAGAUGUGUUUUCACAAUAAGAGCAAAGUGAAUGUGUAUCCACAAUAAGAGCGUGGGUAGGCGUUUCCCAAAAUAAGAGCAUGAGGAGGUGUUUCCACAAUAAGAGCGUGAGGUGGUGUUUCCCAAAAUAAGAGCAUGAGGAGGUGUUUCCACAAUAAGAGCAUGAGGAGGUGUUUCCACAAUAAGAGCGUGAGGAGGUGUUUCCACAAUAAGAGCGUGAGGAGGUGUUUCCACAGUAAGAGCGUGAGGAUGUGUUUCCACAAUAAGAGCGUGA